GGCUGCAACUGUUUAUUAAAAACACAGCACUGUGCAAAAUCGUAAGAUGACGUAUACGGUGUGACGCCUGCCCGGUGCCGGAAGGUUAAUUGAUGGGGUUAGCGUAAGCGAAGCUCUUGAUCGAAGCCCCGGUAAACGGCGGCCGUAACUAUAACGGUCCUAAGGUAGCGAAAUUCCUUGUCGGGUAAGUUCCGACCUGCACGAAUGGCGUAAUGAUGGCCACGCUGUCUCCACCCGAGACUCAGUGAAAUUGAAAUCGCUGUGAAGAUGCAGUGUACCCGCGGCUAGACGGAAAGACCCCGUGAACCUUUACUACAGCUUGGCACUGAACAUUGAACCUACAUGUGUAGGAUAGGUGGGAGGCUUUGAAGACGUGACGCCAGUUGCGUUGGAGCCGUCCUUGAAAUACCACCCUUGUAUGUUUGAUGUUCUAACGUUGGCCCCUAAUCGGGGUUGCGGACAGUGCCUGGUGGGUAGUUUGACUGGGGCGGUCUCCUCCCAAAGAGUAACGGAGGAGCACGAAGGUGGGCUAAUCACGGUUGGACAUCGUGAGGUUAGUGCAAUGGCAUAAGCCCGCUUAACUGCGAGAAUGACGGUUCGAGCAGGUGCGAAAGCAGGUCAUAGUGAUCCGGUGGUUCUGAAUGGAAGGGCCAUCGCUCAACGGAUAAAAGGUACUCCGGGGAUAACAGGCUGAUACCGCCCAAGAGUUCAUAUCGACGGCGGUGUUUGGCACCUCGAUGUCGGCUCAUCACAUCCUGGGGCUGAAGUCGGUCCCAAGGGUAUGGCUGUUCGCCAUUUAAAGUGGUACGCGAGCUGGGUUUAGAACGUCGUGAGACAGUUCGGUCCCUAUCUGCCGUGGGCGUUGGAAGAUUGAAGGGGGCUGCUCCUAGUACGAGAGGACCGGAGUGGACGAACCUCUGGUGUUCGGGUUGUGUCGCCAGACGCAUUGCCCGGUAGCUAAGUUCGGAAUCGAUAACCGCUGAAAGCAUCUAAGCGGGAAGCGAGCCCUGAGAUGAGUCUU
rnacentral:rRNA from 1 species